UGAGGAAUCUUCCACAAUGGGCGAAAGCCUGAUGGAGCGACACCGCGUGAAGGAUGAAGCCUUUGUUGGUGUAAACUUCUUUUCUCUCCGAAGAUAAUGACGGUAGGAGAGGAAUAAGGGGCGGCAAACUUCGUGCCAGCAGCCGCGGUAAUACGAAGGCCCCAAGCGUUAUCCGGAAUUACUGGGUGUAAAGCGUCUGUAGGUGGUUUUAAAGGUUUCGUGUGAAACUUCGGGGCUCAACCCUGAAUUGCACGGAAAACCAUAGAACUUGAGUGUGGGAGAGGCAAGCAGAAUAGUAAGAGUAGGGGUGCAAUCCGUUGAUACUUACUAGAAUACCAAAAGCGAAGGCAGCUUGCUGGAACAUUACUGACACUGAGAGACGAAAGCGUGGGGAGCAAAA
rnacentral:rRNA from 1 species